UAUUCUGUAGACGAUUGAGAAUAUUAGACAUCUAUGUCGGAUGUGUUCCUACUGUGUUCAAACAUAGUACUUCUCCUUGUUGGUAUAAAAUUACAACUGUCGCCGAAAUUAUUACUCUCAGUCUUGGAAUUCUCCAGCAGUAAGAUGUUCCGGAAUAAACAGAUUGCGUUGACUCUUGCCCUGGGUGUUUUCUUCUCCUUUCUCGUUCUCGAAGUAACAACUUUUAAUCUUGAAAGAGUUUACUUCAGAAGGAAUGCAAGAAAUAUCAUGGCAGACCUCCUUAUGAUGGACUAUUUAGCCUCAAGAAACGACAAAGUUGGCCAUGGACUGAACAUUUCACGAUACGGGAGAUAGUGCAUAAUCUAAAAUGUUUGUUUUCUGGACGUUUUGAACAUGAGAAUAGUUAAACUGCAAUCUAAACUACUUGAUUUUUAUGUAUUUUAUAUCAUGAAAAAAAGCAAUUAUUUGACAACAUUUAUCUUUUAGAUAAACAUUUAAUUACUGAUUCAUGUCCUGAAAAUGCCAUUAAAUUGGUGUGAUACAUUGUGUCCAAAAAAUAAAAAGGUGCAUUAUCUUUCUCUGAUAUUAUACAUCAAUUAAUCAACAAUUGAUAUUUCUAUUCAUAUAAAAUCUACUGAAACAAUUUACAUAAGUUGAAAAUUCAUAUCGAAAUUAAAUAAAAUUAGU